rnacentral:rRNA from 1 species
UACAGAGGGUGCAAGCGUUAAUCGGAAUUACGUGGCGUAAAGCGUGCGUAGUCGGUUAUCUAAGUCGGGUGUGAAAUCCCCGGCUCAACCUGGGAAUUGCAUUCGAUACUGGAUAGCUAGAGUUCGGCAGAGGGAAGCGGAAUUUCGGGUGUAGCGGUGAAAUGCGUAGAUAUCCGAAGGAACAUCAGUGGCGAAAGCGGCUUCCUGGACCAGAACUGACGAUCAGGCACGAAAGCGUGGGGAGCAAAGCAGGAUUAAGAAACC